AGAGUUUGAUCCUGGCUCAGGACGAACGCUGGCGGCGUGCUUAACACAUGCAAGUCGAACGAGAAUCUGCGGAAAGAGGAUUCGUCCAAUUGAAGCAGAGGACAGUGGCGGACGGGUGAGUAACGCGUGAGGAACCUGCCUUUCAGAGGGGGACAACAGUUGGAAACGACUGCUAAUACCGCAUGACACAUAGGUGUCGCAUGGCACUUAUGUCAAAGAUUUAUCGCUGAAAGAUGGCCUCGCGUCUGAUUAGCUAGUUGGUGAGGUAACGGCCCACCAAGGCGACGAUCAGUAGCCGGACUGAGAGGUUGAACGGCCACAUUGGGACUGAGAUACGGCCCAGACUCCUACGGGAGGCAGCAGUGGGGAAUAUUGGGCAAUGGGCGCAAGCCUGACCCAGCAACGCCGCGUGAAGGAAGAAGGCUUUCGGGUUGUAAACUUCUUUUGUCAGGGACGAGUAGAAGACGGUACCUGACGAAUAAGCCACGGCUAACUACGUGCCAGCAGCCGCGGUAAUACGUAGGUGGCAAGCGUUGUCCGGAUUUACUGGGUGUAAAGGGCGUGUAGCCGGGAGGGCAAGUCAGAUGUGAAAUCCACGGGCUCAACUCGUGAACUGCAUUUGAAACUACUCUUCUUGAGUAUCGGAGAGGCAAUCGGAAUUCCUAGUGUAGCGGUGAAAUGCGUAGAUAUUAGGAGGAACACCAGUGGCGAAGGCGGCUUACUGGACGAUAACUGACGCUGAGGCUCGAAAGCGUGGGGAGCAAACAGGAUUAGAUACCCUGGUAGUCCACGCUGUAAACGAUGAAUACUAGGUGUGCGGGGACUGACCCCCUGCGUGCCGCAGCUAACGCAAUAAGUAUUCCACCUGGGGAGUACGAUCGCAAGGUUGAAACUCAAAGGAAUUGACGGGGGCCCGCACAAGCGGUGGAUUAUGUGGUUUAAUUCGAAGCAACGCGAAGAACCUUACCAGGGCUUGACAUCCUACUAACGAGAUAGAGAUAUGUUAGGUGCCCUUCGGGGAAAGUAGAGACAGGUGGUGCAUGGUUGUCGUCAGCUCGUGUCGUGAGAUGUUGGGUUAAGU
rnacentral:rRNA from 1 species